rnacentral:sRNA from 24 species
GCCGUCCGCCCCGUGGACGCCCUGCACAUCCCGGGCGACUCCCGGUUAGGCUGGCGCCGUGCGCCCUUCCCCCGGGGGAUCGCUCCUGGGUGUCCGGGGAGCCGCAUAGCCGACAGCCGUCGCAUUUGAGGGAGCCCUUACAUG